GACAGAGGGUGCAACCGUUGUUCGGAUUUACUGGGCGUAAAGCGUGUGUAGGCGGCUUGGCAAGUUGGAUGUGAAAGCCCACGGCUCAACCGUGGAAGCGCAUCCAAAACUGCCUCGCUCGAGUCUCGGAGAGGAAGGUGGAAUGCUUGGUGUAGAGGUGAAAUUCGUAGAUAUCAAGCAGAACACCUGCGGCGAAGGCGGCCUUCUGGACGAUGACUGACGCUGAGACACGAAAGCGUGGGGAGCAAACAGG
rnacentral:rRNA from 1 species